rnacentral:rRNA from 1 species
UUAGCUUGUUGGUGAGGUAAUGGCUCACCAAGGCGACGAUCCGUAGCUGGUCUGAGAGGAUGAUCAGCCACACUGGGACUGAGACACGGCCCAGACUCCUACGGGAGGCAGCAGUGGGGAAUAUUGGGCAAUGGGCGAAAGCCUGAUCCAGCCAUGCCGCGUGUGUGAAGAAGGCUCUAGGGUUGUAAAGCACUUUCAGUUGGGAGGAA